AUGAAAUCAGAGACAGUGGCAGGUAGUUCAGACAAUGCAGCUACUGUAGAGCAACAAGCAGAUGCACCUGGUUCAGAGGACCAAGAAAAAUCAGAUGUGUCAGAAAAUUCAGAAGUUUCAGAAGAAGAGUAUGAUUGUGAUUCAGACAUUGAUCCUACUUGGUACGACAGUGAUUAUGGAAUGGAGGAGGAGGAUGAUAAGGAUUAUGAUAAGAAUGUAGAUGAUGUUGUGCAUGAUGCUAUGGUUGAGAAGGGCAAAAACAUAGGAGCUGAAUAUAGGCAUGUUCCUGGGUCAGUUGAUGUUCAUGAGGAUGAUCUGCAACUGCCAGAAGAGGAUGACUGGGAGAAAAGACAUAAAAGCGACUCUGAUGAUGAGGAGUACAAGGCUAAGAAAAAGAAGGGGAAACCUAUAUAUAGGUUUAAAACAUUCAACCCUGCUGUUGACAUGGACAACCCUCAGUUCAAGCUAGGAAUGGUAUUUGAUUCAGUGGAGCUACUUAGGAAAGUUGUAGCACAAUAUGCAGUAAAGAACAGGGUGCAAAUUAAGAAGAAAAGAAAAAACAAGCAAAGGUUUGAGGCUGUGUGUUCAGAGGGUUGCCCUUGGAAGCUUGUGGCUGUCAAUGACAACAGGACACAGUCUUUCCUUGUAAAGACUUAUGUUGGACAGCACACAUGUGAAAAAGUUUGGGAUGUAAAGGAACUAACAGCCCCUUUUCUUGCCAAUAAAUAUGUAAAGAUGUUCAGAGACAAUGACAAGAUGUCACUGUCUACCUUUUCAAGAAAAGUUAGGAAGAAAUUCAACAUGGAAGUUAGCAGGCACAAGCUAGGGAGAGCUAGGAAAGCAACAUUGGAAGUUGUGCGUGGGGAUGAGGUGAAGCAGUACUCAUUGCUUUAG
rnacentral:rRNA from 1 species